rnacentral:rRNA from 1 species
GUAAUUAUCGGGCUACACGCGGGCUACAAUGGGUGGGACAAUGGGUAUCGACACCGAAAGGUGAAGGCAAUCUCCUAAACCCAUCCGUAGUUCGGAUUGUGGGCUGCAACUCGCCCACAUGAAGCUGGAAUCUGUAGUAAUCGUGUCUCAAAAUGGCACGGUGAAUAUGUCCCUGCUCCUU